GAUGAACGCUGGCGGCGUGCCUAAUACAUGCAAGUCGAGCGCACAGACGAGGUGCUUGUACCUCUGGCGUUAGCGGCGGACGGGUGAGUAACACGUGGAUAACCUACCUAUAAGCCUGGGACAACUUCGGGAAACCGAUGCUAAUACCGCAUAAUAUAUUUAACCACAUGUUUCAAUAGUGAAAGACGCAAUUGCUUUCCCCUAAAGAUAGACCGGCUCCUCAUUAGCUAGUUGGUAAGGUAACGCCUUCCAAAGGGAACGAUCCUAACCGAACCGGGAAGGGGGAUCGGCAAAACUGGAACGAGGACACGGUCCAGACUCCUAGGGAAGGCGCCGGUAGGGAAUCUUGCGCAAUGAGCGAAGGCCUGACGGAGCAAGGCGGCGUGAGUGAGGAAGGUCUUGGGACCGUAAAACCUGUUUAUAAGGGAAAAAGAAAGGGGUAGGGAACUAUGCACGACUUGACGGUACCUAAUCAGAAAGCCACGGCUAACUACGUG
rnacentral:rRNA from 1 species